GGGGUACUCGAGUGGCGAACGGGUGAGUAACACGUGGGUGAUCUGCCCUGCACUUUGGGAUAAGCCUGGGAAACUGGGUCUAAUACCUGAAUAGGGCCACGCGCUUCAUGGUGUGUGGUGGAAAGCUUUUGAAGNUUCGGUGUGGGAUGGGCCCGCGGCCUAUCAGCUUGUUGGUGGGGUAAUGGCCUACCAAGGCGACGACGGGUAGCCGGCCUGAGAGGGUGACCGGCCACACUGGGACUGAGAUACGGCCCAGACUCCUACGGGAGGCAGCAGUGGGGAAUAUUGCACAAUGGGCGCAAGCCUGAUGCAGCGACGCCGCGUGAGGGAUGACGGCCUUCGGGUUGUAAACCUCUUUCAAUAGGGACGAAGCGCAAGUGACGGUACCUAUAGAAGAAGCACCGGCCAACUACGUGCCAGCAGCCGCGGUAAUACGUAGGGUGCGAGCGUUGUCCGGAAUUACUGGGCGUAAAGAGCUCGUAGGUGGUUUGUCGCGUUGUUCGUGAAAACUCACAGCUUAACUGUGGGCGUGCGGGCGAUACGGGCAGACUAGAGUACUGCAGGGGAGACUGGAAUUCCUGGUGUAGCGGUGGAAUGCGCAGAUAUCAGGAGGAACACCGGUGGCGAAGGCGGGUCUCUGGGCAGUAACUGACGCUGAGGAGCGAAAGCGUGGGGAGCGAACAGGAUUAGAUACCCUGGUAGUCCACGCCGUAAACGGUGGGUACUAGGUGUGGGUUCCUUCCUUGGGAUCCGUGCCGUAGCUAACGCAUUAAGUACCCCGCCUGGGGAGUACGGCCGCAAGGCUAAAACUCAAAGGAAUUGACGGGGGCCCGCACAAGCGGCGGAGCAUGUGGAUUAAUUCGAUGCAACGCGAAGAACCUUACCUGGGUUUGACAUGCACAGGACGCCGGCAGAGAUGUCGGUUCCCUUGUGGCCUGUGUGCAGGUGGUGCAUGGCUGUCGUCAGCUCGUGGUCGUGAGAUGUUGGGUUAAGUCCCGCAACGAGCGCAACCCUUGUCCUAUGUUGCCAGCGGGUUAUGCCGGGGACUCGUAGGAGACUGCCGGGGUCAACUCGGAGGAAGGUGGGGAUGACGUCAAGUCAUCAUGCCCCUUAUGUCCAGGGCUUCACACAUGCUACAAUGGCCGGUACAAAGGGCUGCGAUGCCGUGAGGUGGAGCGAAUCCUUUCAAAGCCGGUCUCAGUUUNCGGAUCGGGGUCUGCAACUCGACCCCGUGAAGUCGGAGUCGCUAGUAAUCGCAGAUCAGCAACGCUGCGGUGAAUACGUUCCCGGGCCUUGUACACACCGCCCGUCACGUCAUGAAAGUCGGUAACACCC
rnacentral:rRNA from 1 species